GCGGGCGUAGUGUUAGGUCGGUUCAACACACCUCCCUUCCAUGGAAAAUAUCCGCUUCCCGAAGACAGGAGGUACCGACGGUUCAAAUCCGUUCGCCCGCA
rnacentral:tRNA from 1 species